AUGGGCUUGCCUGCAACUGCAAGCACCGGCAGUGCGCAGCUCAUCCUCCUCCUCCUCUUCCUCCUCGCUUCCUUGCACCUCUCUGGAGCUAUAUAUACCGCUCCAGCUCCAGCCGCAGUCGCCUCACCCUUCUCCUUCAGCUUCGACUUCACCAACGCAUCCAGCUACCGCCUAGAUAACCUCAAACUCGAGGGCGACGCCGCCAUACCUUUGGGCCGCGGCAUGGUCGAUGUCACCUGCAACUCAUGGGGAAAGGACCCCACAAGUUGCAAGGGACGGGUGUCGUACGGCCACCCGGUGCCGUUCUACGACGCCACCACCGGCGAGGUGGCCAGCUUCCAAACGCGCUUCACAUUCACCAUCAAUACCACCAAGAACAAGGGCGAUGGCAUGGCCUUCUUUCUCGCAUAUUACCCGUCGGAAUUGCCGCCCAACUCAACUGGCGGCCACCUCGGCCUCAUCUCCCAAGGCGACCAGGAGAGGGGGGCCGCAUUGGGUAACCAGCAGUUCGUCGCCGUGCCGUGGAGUUUGACACCCACAACAACGGGUGGGACCCCCCAAACACCGCCGCCGACCACAUCGGGAUUGACAUCAACUCUGUUCGCUCGGAGAACACGAGCUUUCCCCGCUUCAGCCUCAACGGCUCCAUGA
rnacentral:rRNA from 1 species